AUUGAACGCUGGCGGCAUGCUUUACACAUGCAAGUCGAACGGCAGCGCGGGCUUCGGCCUGGCGGCGAGUGGCGAACGGGUGAGUAAUGCAUCUGAACGUGCCCAGUAGUGGGGGAUAGCCCGGCGAAAGCCGGAUUAAUACCGCAUACGACCUGAGGGUGAAAGCGGGUGACCGAAAGGCCUCGCGCUAUUGGAGCGGCCGAUGUCGGAUUAGCUAGUUGGUGGGGUAAAGGCUUACCAAGGCGACGAUCCGUAGCUGGUCUGAGAGGACGACCAGCCACACUGGGACUGAGACACGGCCCAGACUCCUACGGGAGGCAGCAGUGGGGAAUUUUGGACGAUGGGGGCAACCCUGAUCCAGCCAUGCCGCGUGCGGGAAGAAGGCCUUCGGGUUGUAAACCGCUUUUGUUCGGGAAGAAAUCCUCUGGGCUAAUACCCCGGGGGGAUGACGGUACCGGAAGAAUAAGCACCGGCUAACUACGUG
rnacentral:rRNA from 1 species